UACGUAGGUGGCAAGCGUUAUCCGGAAUUAUUGGGCGUAAAGAGCGCGCAGGUGGUUGAUUAAGUCUGAUGUGAAAGCCCACGGCUUAACCGUGGAGGGUCAUUGGAAACUGGUCGACUUGAGUGCAGAAGAGGGAAGUGGAAUUCCAUGUGUAGCGGUGAAAUGCGUAGAGAUAUGGAGGAAUACCAGUGGCGAAGGCGGCUUCCUGGUCUGUAACUAACACUGAGGCGCGAAAGCGUGGGGAGCAAACAGGAUUAGAUACCCU
rnacentral:rRNA from 1 species